rnacentral:rRNA from 1 species
CAUGCAAGUCGAACGAAGGUGCCCCUUCGGGGGUAUACUUAGUGGCGGACGGGUGAGUAACGCGUGGGAACCUGCCCUAGUGUGGGGAAUAACUACGGGAAACUGUAGCUAAUACCGCAUACGCCCUUCGGGGGAAAGGCUUCGGCCGCACCGGGAGGGGCCCGCGUCGGAUUAGCUUGUUGGUGGGGUAAUGGCCUACCAAGGCCGCGAUCCGUAACUGGUCUGAGAGGACGAUCAGUCACACUGGAACUGAGACACGGUCCAGACUCCUACGGGAGGCAGCAGUGGGGAAUUUUGCACAAUAGGGGAAACCCUGAUGCAGCGACGCCGCGUGGGUGAAGAAGGCCUUAGGGUUGUAAAACCCUUUCAGCAGGGAAGAUGAUGACGGUACCUGCAGAAGAAGCCCCGGCAAACUCCGUGCCAGCAGCCGCGGUAAUACGGAGGGGGCUAGCGUUGUUCGGAAUUACUGGGCGUAAAGCGCACGUAGGCGGUUUGGAAAGUUGGGUGUGAAAGCCCGGGGCUCAACCCCGGAACUGCACUCAAAACUUCCAGGCUAGAGAUCUGGAGAGGUGGGCGGAACUCCGAGUGUAGAGGUGAAAUUCGUAGAUAUUCGGAAGAACACCGGUUGCGAAGGCGGCUCACUGGCCAGAGUCUGACG